rnacentral:rRNA from 1 species
GACGAACGCUGGCGGCGCGCCUAACACAUGCAAGUCGAGCGAGAACCAUUCCUUCGGGAAUGGGGACAGCGGCGAACGGGUGAGUAACACGUGGGUAAUCUACCCUCGGUCCUGGGAUAGCCCGGGGAAACCCGGAUUAAUACCGGAUAGCCUCUUGAGCCUUCGGGUUCUUGAGAAAAGGUAAGCUUCGGCCUCCGACUGAGGAUGAGCCCGCGGCGGAUUAGCUUGUUGGCGGGGUAACGGCCCACCAAGGCUUCGAUCCGUAGCUGGUCUGAGAGGACGAUCAGCCACACUGGGACUGAGACACGGCCCA